rnacentral:lncRNA from 1 species
GGGCCACCGAGAGGCAGAACGUGCGAACUUAACCACUGCGCCAUCGGUCCAGCCCCUAAUGUAGAUUCUUUUUCUUUUCCCCAACUGUUGCCAAUCUUUUUUUUUUUUUUUUCUGCUUUAUCUCCCCCAACCCUCCCUGUACACAGUUGUAUAUCUUAGUUGCACGUCCUUCUAGUUGUGGGAUGUGGGACGCCGCCUCAACGUGGCCUGACGAGCGGUGCCAUGUCCGUGCCCAGAAUCCAAACCCUGGGCCACCGCAGCGGAGCGCGCGAACUUAAUCACUCGGCCACGGAGCCAGCCCCCCCAAUGUAGAUUCUUAAUGAAGAGAUGAAGAAACUGAGGCACAGAGGAGUGAAAUCAUUGGCUCAGUGCCCCACAUCUCUCUCCAGAAAAGGAAGAGGAAGACGGAGCAUGGGCAGGUCACGGCUGGAGAGGGAGACGGGGUCCGAAGUUGCUGACGGAGAUAAGAGAAUGGGGAUUCAGGCAAUGGUGGGAACCAAGGUGAGGCCGAGGGACCGGCCCCUGACGAUGAGCGGGGACGGGAUGGGGGCCUGGAGAGUGAGGGAUGUGAUCGAUUCCCCCCAGAGCACCAAAGGGACCCGCAGACAGAAGCGAAGGUUGAAGUCAGGGGACGGGAAUGUCGAGCCGGGGAGGCGGCCGUGGGUGAUGGGACGCAGGCUCUGCGGCUCCCGGGGAGGCGGGAACAGCGAGCAUCCCCGUCCCCUGCCUCCGGGUGGCCCUGCCCCUCCCUGGGCCGUGUCACCGUGCAGCUCCUCCCGUCGACAGAUGGAAUCUGCUUCCCCAGCCCCCGAACUGGACCCCGCAGCUCGCGGUGGCCGGUCGAACGCAGCCAGGCGAGCGUGUCCGGGUUCCCAGACGACGCCUUCAGGGCCUCUGAGGGUUUCUCUUCUCGCUCUGGCUUCUCUGCCUCCUCCGCAAGAACAUGCCCGGGCCGGCCCGCGGCGGGGUGCGGGAUGCGAGGGAAAGGUCGAGAAGAACUGAGUCAUCCCGGCUGGAGUCAUCCUCGACCAGCCGGCCUCUCGAGGGCCCGCCAGACGACGGCAGCUUCAUGAGCGAGCUCCGCCGGGGUCCACAGAGCCUGGCCCGGAUUAGCAGAACUGUCCAGAGGACCCAAAGAGACAUGAGAAAAAAAUAAAUGGUCGGGGGCCAGCCUGGCAGCAGAGGGGUUAGGUUUGCACACUCUGCUUUGGCAGCUGGGGGUUUGCCAGUUCGGAUCCUGGGCGUGGACCUAGCACCACUCGUCAAGCCACGCUGUGGCGGUGACCCACAUAAAAUAGAGGAAGAUCAGCAUAGAUGUUAGCUCAGUGCCAAUCUUCCUCAAGCAGAAAGAGGAAGAUUGGCAAGAAGUGUUAGCUCACGGCCAAUCUUCCUCACCAAAAAAAAAAAAAAAAAAAAGGGAGUCGGGCAUGGUCAAAGAAUAAGAGCUUCAGAGCUCGUGCCACUUGCUAGCUGAUAGCUGUUAUUAUCGUUUAAAUAAAGGAACGGUGGUCUUAAUUCUGG